rnacentral:lncRNA from 1 species
CGCAGAGCCAAUCCCCGGACGGCAGGGUUGGGUGAGCAGCUCUCUGACCCUGAAAGUGACCAGCGCCCUGAGCCGCGAUGGCAUCUCCUGUGAAGCCUCCAACCCCCACGGGAACAAGCGCCAUGUCUUCCACUUCGGCACCGUGAGCCCCCAGACCUCCCAGGCUGGAGUGGCCGUCAUGGCCGUGGCCGUCAGCGUGGGCCUCCUGCUCCUCGUCGUUGCUGUCUUCUACUGCGUGAGACGCAAAGGGGGCCCCUGCUGCCGCCAGCGGCGGGAGAAGGGGGCUCCGUGAGGGAGCCAGGGCUGAGCCACUCGGGGUCGGAGCAACCAGAGCAGACCGGCCUUCUCAUGGGAGGUGCCUCCGGAGGAGCCAGGGGUGGCAGCGGGGGCUUCGGAGACGAGUGCUGAGCCAAGAACCUCCUAGAGGCUGUCCCUGGACCUGGAGCUGCAGGCAUCAGAGAACCAGCCCUGCUCACGCCAUGCCCGCCCCCGCCUUCCCUCUUCCCUCUUCCCUCUCCCUGCCCAGCCCUCCCUUCCUUCCUCUGCCGGCAAGGCAGGGACCCACAGUGGCUGCCUGCCUCCGGGAGGGAAGGAGAGGGAGGGUGGGUGGGUGGGAGGGGGCCUUCCUCCAGGGAAUGUGACUCUCCCAGGCCCCAGAAUAGCUCCUGGACCCAAGCCCAAGGCCCAGCCUGGGACAAGGCUCCGAGGGUCGGCUGGCCGGAGCUAUUUUUACCUCCCGCCUCCCCUGCUGGUCCCCCCACCUGACGUCUUGCUGCAGAGUCUGACACUGGAUUCCCCCCCCUCACCCCGCCCCUGGUCCCACUCCUGCCCCCGCCCUACCUCCGCCCCACCCCAUCAUCUGUGGACACUGGAGUCUGGAAUAAAUGCUGUUUGUCAC